GACGAACGCUGGCGGCGUGCUUAACACAUGCAAGUCGAGCGGUAAGGCCCUUUCGGGGGUACACGAGCGGCGAACGGGUGAGUAACACGUGGGUGACCUGCCCUCAGCUCUGGGAUAAGCCCGGGAAACUGGGUCUAAUACUGGAUAUGACUCCAUGACGCAUGUUGUGGGGUGGAAAGCCUUGUGCGGCUGAGGAUGGGCCCGCGGCCUAUCAGCUUGUUGGUGGGGNGAUGGCCUACCAAGGCGACGACGGGUAGCCGGCCUGAGAGGGCGACCGGCCACACUGGGACUGAGACACGGCCCAGACUCCUACGGGAGGCAGCAGUGGGGAAUCUUGCGCAAUGGGCGAAAGCCUGACGCAGCGACGCCGCGUGAGGGAUGACGGCCUGGUGUAACUC
rnacentral:rRNA from 1 species